CCUACGGGUGGCAGCAGGGAGGAAGAGGGGGCAAGGGAAGAGAGAAGGAACCAGCAAAGGAGAGGGAGGGAUGACGGCCCUAUGGGUUGUAAACUUCUUUUAUAAAGGAAUAAAACGAGGCACGUGUGCCUUUUUGCAUGUACCCUAUGAAUAAGGAUCGGCUAACUCCGUGCCAGCAGCCGCGGUAAUACGGAGGAUCCGAGCGUUAUCCGGAUUUAUUGGGUUUAAAGGGAGCGUAGGUGGGUUGUUAAGUCAGUUGUGAAAGUUUGCGGCUCAACCCUAAAAUUGCCGUUGAUACUGGCAGGCUUGAGUAGAGUUGAGGUAGGCGGAAUUCGUGGUGUAGCGGUGAAAUGCUUAGAUAUCACGAAGAACCCCGAUUGCGAAGGCAGCAUACUAGACUGUAACUGACGUUGAUGCACGAAAGUGUGGGUAUCAAACAGGAUUAGAUACCCGAGUAGUC
rnacentral:rRNA from 1 species